rnacentral:rRNA from 1 species
CCCUACGGGGCGCAGCAGUGAGGAAUAUUGGGCAAUGGGGGCAACCCUGACCCAGCCAUGCCGCGUGAGUGAAGAAGGUCUUCGGAUUGUAAAGCUCUUUCGGACGUGACGAUGAUGACGGUAGCGUCUAAAGAAGCACUGGCAAACUUCGUGCCAGCAGCCGCGGUAAUACGAAGGGUGCGAGCGUUGUUCGGAAUUACUGGGCGUAAAGGGAGUGUAGGCGGAUAUGUAAGAUAGCGGUGAAAUGCCGGGGCUCAACCCCGUCGUGCCGUUGAAACUGAUGUUCUUGAGUGGGCGAGAAGUAU